rnacentral:rRNA from 1 species
UAAGCCAUGCAUGUCUAAGUAUAAGCACUUUAUACUGUGAAACUGCGAAUGGCUCAUUAAAUCAGUUAUCGUUUAUUUGAUAGUACCUUACUACAUGGAUACCUGUGGUAAUUCUAGAGCUAAUACAUGCUGAAAACCCCAACUUCGGAAGGGGUGUAUUUAUUAGAUAAAAAACCAAUGCCCUCCGGGGCUCCUUGGUGAAUCAUAAUAACUUAACGAAUCGCAUGGCCUUGCGCCGGCGAUGGUUCAUUCAAAUUUCUGCCCUAUCAACUUUCGAUGGUAGGAUAGUGGCCUACCAUGGUGGCAACGGGUAACGGGGAAUUAGGGUUCGAUUCCGGAGAGGGAGCCUGAGAAACGGCUACCACAUCCAAGGAAGGCAGCAGGCGCGCAAAUUACCCAAUCCCGACACGGGGAGGUAGUGACAAUAAAUACUGAUACGGGGCUCUUUUGGGUCUCGUAAUUGGAAUGAGUACAAUCUAAAUCCCUUAACGAGGAACAAUUGGAGGGCAAGUCUGGUGCCAGCAGCCGCGGUAAUUCCAGCUCCAAUAGCGUAUAUUAAAGUUGUUGCAGUUAAAAAGCUCGUAGUUGAACCUUGGGUCUGGCUGACCGGUCCGCCUCACCGCGAGUACUGGUCCGGCUGGACCUUUCCUUCUGGGGAACCCCAUGGCCUUCACUGGCUGUGGGGGGAACCAGGACUUUUACUGUGAAAAAAUUAGAGUGUUCAAAGCAGGCCUUUGCUCGAAUACAUUAGCAUGGAAUAAUAGAAUAGGACGUGCGGUUCUAUUUUGUUGGUUUCUAGGACCGCCGUAAUGAUUAAUAGGGAUAGUCGGGGGCGUCAGUAUUCAGCUGUCAGAGGUGAAAUUCUUGGAUUUGCUGAAGACUAACUACUGCGAAAGCAUUCGCCAAGGAUGUUUUCAUUAAUCAGGGAACGAAAGUUACGGGAUCGAAAACGAUCAGAUGCCGUCUAAGUCUUAACGAU